GGUUGUUUGCAUGAGUUAUCAGUUCUCAGGGAUUAAAGACGCACACUUACGUUAAAUACUGUCGUUUUAAGAAAAGUUCUGAAAGGCUCUUCAGCAUCAUGCGACGCCAUGGAGGCCGCUGAAGAAACGCUUCCAAGAAAAAGCAAAGCGAUAAGGAAUCUAAAUUCUAAGACUCUGAGAUGAAAAUGCCAGUUCCCUUGAAGGCAGCCCGAGGCAUGUCAUUUGGAUGGGAAUUCGAUCCCCCUCACCAGUGCUUGGAACUAUCAAGUAAGCGCUCCGACAGGGAACGGAGCAGAGAGAGGAUCCCUUCCCCUGGCCCGCAACUCUGUCUGACAGCACUGGCCAGUAGACGAGUCCCCGGCUUGUCAACAGCAGUGCUUGAGCACACUGCAUAUACGGCGGCUGGCAGUCUCCAGAACAUGAGCGUCUCCGCUGAAAAAUAAGGAAAACAACUGUCUGACAAACUUUCAUGUGCUUUGUUUCCUGCAUUAUGACUGUAUGUAAUGAUGAUCAAAAUCCGCUGUAUUUUUUAUACACCAUAAUCUAUGGGAGUGUUUAUAACAGGUGUGAAUUACUGAUGGAUUCAAAAUCAACUAAAAGGAAAGCUCAGCAAAUUUGUUUCAUUUGAAGGUUCUCUCACAUCUGAAGUAGACCUGUUGUAUAUUUUGGCUUUGGAAUAACUUGAGUACAUAAGGAAAUCUAGCACAAUCUGUUAGUCU